rnacentral:rRNA from 1 species
UACGUAGGGGGCUAGCGUUGUCCGGAUUUAUUGGGCGUAAAGAGCGUGUAGGCGGCCAGGUAGGUCCGUUGUGAAAACUCGAGGCUCAACCUCGAGACGUCGGCGGAAACCAUCUGGCUAGAGUCCGGAAGAGGAGAGUGGAAUUCCUGGUGUAGCGGUGAAAUGCGCAGAUAUCAGGAAGAACACCCGUGGCGAAGGCGGCUCUCUGGGACGGUACUGACGCUGAGGUGCGAAAGCGUGGGGAGCGAUCCGG